UAGCGUAUAUUAAAGUUGUUGCGGUAAAAAAGCUCGUAGUUGGAUUUCUGUUGAGAACGACCGGUCCACACAACGUGUGCGCAUCUGGCUCGGUCUCGGCAUCCUCUCGCAGGACUACUCUGCGCUUGAUUGCGUGGAUAGGACUUCGGGACUUUUACUUUGAGGAAAUUAGAGUGUUCACGGCAGGCAAGCGCCUUGAAUAUGUUAGCAUGGAAUAAUAAUAUAGGAUCUUGAUUCUAUUUUGUUGGUUUCUAGGAUUGAGAUAAUGAUUAAUAGGGACAAUUGGGGGCAUUCGUAUCAACACGUC
rnacentral:rRNA from 1 species